rnacentral:rRNA from 1 species
GCAUGUAGGUGGGUCAUUAAGUUAGGUGUGAAAUCCCCGGGCUCAACCUGGGAACAGCACUUAAAACUGGUGGUCUAGAGUAUUGUAGAGGAAGGUAGAAUUCCAUGUGUAGCGGUGAAAUGCGUAGAGAUGUGGAGGAAUACCGGUGGCGAAGGCGGCCUUCUGGACAAAUACUGACGCUGAGAUGCGAAAGCGUGGGGAGCAAACAGGAUUAGAUACCCUGGUAGUCCACGCUGUAAACGAUGUCGAUUUGGAGUUUGGUGGCAUGACUGCUGGGCUCCGAAGCUAACGCGUUAAAUCGACCGCCUGGGGAGUACGGCCGCAAGGUUAAAACUCAAAUGAAUUGACGGGGGCCCGCACAAGCGGUGGAGCAUGUGGUUUAAUUCGAUGCAACGCGAAGAACCUUACCUGGUCUUGACAUCCACAGAAUUUUGUAGAGAUACGAAAGUGCCUUAGGGAGCUGUGAGACAGGUGCUGCAUGGCUGUCGUCAGCUCGUGUUGUGAAAUGUUGGGUUAAGUCCCGCAACGAGCGCAACCCUUAUCCUUUGUUGCCAUCGGUUAGGCCGGGAACUCAAAGGAGACUGCCGUUGAUAAAGCGGAGGAAGGUGGGGACGACGUCAAGUCAUCAUGGCCCUUACGACCAGGGCUACACACGUGCUACAAUGGCGCAUACAAAGAGAAGCAAACCAGCGAUGGCAAGCGGACCUCAUAAAGUGCGUCUAAGUUCGGAUUGGAGUCUGCAACUCGACUCCAUGAAGUCGGAAUCGCUAGUAAUCGUGAAUCAGAAUGUCACGGUGAAUACGUUCCCGGGCCUUGUACACACCGCCCGUCACACCAUGGGAGUGGGUUGCACCAGAAGUAGAUAGCUUAACCUUCGGGAGGGCGUUACCACG